GGAAGUAAAAGUCGUAACAAGGUUUCCGUAGGUGAACCUGCGGAAGGAUCAUUACCGAGUGCGGGUUCCAACGAGCCCAACCUCCCACCCGUGUUUACCAUGACCGCGUUGCCUCGGCGGGCCCACUGGGGCCUGGCCCCGGUCGCCGGGGGGCUUCUGCCCCCGGGUCCGCGCCCGCCGAAGCGCCCUGGAACCCUGUCUGAAUAGUGAGUCUGAGUCUAUGAUUAAAUCAUUAAAACUUUCAACAACGGAUCUCUUGGUUCCGGCAUCGAUGAAGAACGCAGCGAAAUGCGAUAAGUAAUGUGAAUUGCAGAAUUCCGUGAAUCAUCGAAUCUUUGAACGCACAUUGCGCCCCCUGGCAUUCCGGGGGGCAUGCCUGUCCGAGCGUCAUUUCUGCCCUCCAGCCCGGCUGGGUGUUGGGUGUUGUCCCCCCGGGGACACGCCCCAAAGGCAGUGGCGGCGCCGCGUCGGGUCCUCGAGCGUAUGGGGCUUUGUCACCCGCUCGGGACGGACUCGUCGGCGCUGGUCUUCCUCCAGGCGACCCUUCGGGGCCCGUCUACCUUCGGUUGACCUCGGAUCAGGUAGGGUUACCCGCUGAACUUAAGCAUAUCAAUAAGCGGAGGAA
rnacentral:rRNA from 1 species